rnacentral:rRNA from 1 species
AUUGAACGCUGGCGGCAGGCCUAACACAUGCAAGUCGAACGAGUGGCGGACGGGUGAGUAAUGUCUGGGAAACUGCCCGAUGGAGGGGGAUAACUACUGGAAACGGUAGCUAAUACCGCAUACCAUCGGAUGUGCCCAGAUGGGAUUGGCUUGUAGGUGAGGUAACGGCUCACCUAGGCGACGAUCCCUAGCUGGUCGGCGAGGUGGAACAGCCACACUGGAAAGGAGACACGGUCCAGAAUCCUACGGGAGGCAGCAGUGGGGAUUAUUGGAAAAGGGGCGCAAGCCUGAUGAAGACAUGCCGCGUGUAGGAAGAAGGCCUUAGGGUUGUAAAGUACUUUCAGCGGGGAGGCGUUACCCGCAGAAGAAGCACCGGCUAACUCCGUGCCAGCCGCCGCGGUAAGUC